rnacentral:rRNA from 1 species
AGUGAACGCUGGCGGUAGGCCUAACACAUGCAAGUCGAACGGCAGCACAGGAGAGCUUGCUCUCUGGGUGGCGAGUGGCGGACGGGUGAGGAAUACAUCGGAAUCUACUUUUUCGUGGGGGAUAACGUAGGGAAACUUACGCUAAUACCGCAUACGACCUACGGGUGAAAGCAGGGGAUCUUCGGACCUUGCGCGAUUGAAUGAGCCGAUGUCGGAUUAGCUAGUUGGCGGGGUAAAGGCCCACCAAGGCGACGAUCCGUAGCUGGUCUGGGAGGAUGAGCAGCCACACUGGAACCGGGACACGGUCCAGACUCCUACGGGAGGCAGCAGUGGGGAAUAUUGGACAAUGGGCGCAAGCCUGAUCCAGCCAUACCGCGUGGGUGAAGAAGGCCUUCGGGUUGUAAAGCCCUUUUGUUGGGAAAGAAAUCCAGCUGGCUAAUACCCGGUUGGGAUGACGGUACCCAAAGAAUAAGCACCGGCUAACUUCGUGCCAGCCGCCGCGGUAAAAC